UACAGCAUACAAAUAACACUGAUCCUGGCAUGUCCCAUGGAUCUGAAGAACUUCCCGAUGGACGUCCAGACCUGCAUCAUGCAACUGGAGAGCUUCGGAUACACCAUGAACGACCUGGUGUUCGAGUGGGAUGAGAAGGGAGCCGUGCAGGUGGCCGACGGCCUGACGCUACCUCAGUUUCUGCUCAAAGACGAGAAGGACCUGCGCUACUGCACCAAGCACUACAAC